rnacentral:rRNA from 1 species
ACUCAAAGGAAUAGACGGGGGUCCGCACAAGCGGUGGAACAUGUGGUUUAAUUCGAUACUACGCGAGGAACCUUACCUAGGCUUGACAUGUAUGUGACAGUUGUAGAAAUACGAUCUUUUAGGCUUCGGUCUAGACGCAUGCACAGGUGCUGCAUGGCUGUCGUCAGCUCGUGUCGUGAGAUGUUGGGUUAAGUCCUUUAACGAGCGCAACCCUUGCCGUCAGUUGCUAUCCGUGUGAACGGAGCACUCUGGUGGGACUGCCUGGGAAACCAGGAGGAAGGUGGGGAUGACGUCAAGUCCGCAUGGUCCUUAUGCCUAGGGCAACACACGUGUUACAAUGGCCAGAACAGAGGGCUGCAAUGCCGCAAGGUGGAGCUAAUCCCUAAAUCUGGUCUAAGUUCGGAUUGAGGUCUGCAACUCGACCUCAUGAAGUUGAAAUCGCUAGUAAUCGCGUAUCAGAACGACGCGGUGAAUACGUUCUCGGGCCUUGUACACACCGCCCGU